AAAUGUUUGACAAGGUGUUAACAGUCUGUAUCUCCAUGUCUUCCAUUCACGUGGCUCACCAUCCACAUAUUCAGGAAGUAGCUUUUAUCUUUCAAAACAGUUCAGUGAUAAGAAAAGAAAAUGCAUUGUGUGAAUGCACAAAGAAAAGUGCAUUGUGAUGUCACAAUGGAGCAGCUUUGAUUCUCUUUCCUCUGAACACUAGAGAGGCAAUAUCAAAGCUAGACCCUGGGAGUCCAAGCACCUCUGCAAAUCCACUUCUGACAAACAUGAUAAUUAUGAUGAAAGGGAAGCUGAGACUCUAAGAAGUAAAAUGAAUUAUUCAAUCAACUCAGGCCACAGCUAGGCCAAUGCUCUUUCUAGGAAACCAUGCUUGAAGAAAAUGCUUUCCAUGGAGAAUUUAUAUAAGAACAUAGUUACAAAAGUAAACAAGGAGACAUUAAAUUUCAUUAAAUUCCUGAGGGUUCUGAACCCUUGCUGCAUGAUUGAUGCAAGCACAUCUAGGAAUGUGUCCUGGGAAGGAAUGGUGGAAUGAAUGACCAGAGAAACCCCUGAGGAAUACAAGGACUCCCUGGUUUGAAAGGCAGUAGAACAGAGCUUCCAAUGUGCCCUCUGGAUCUAGUAUUACAUGAAUAAACUCAAGAGAGGGCCA